AUGUCUAUCAGGUAAACAGUAAUGCCUCAGUCAGGUAAACAGUAAUGCCUCUGUCAGGUAAACAGUUUUGCCUCUAUCAGGUAAACAGUAAUGUCUCUAUCAGGUAAACAGUAAUGCCUCUAUCAGGUAAACAGGAAUGUCUCAGUCAGG